UCCAUGUGGGGUCUCCUUCUCCUCCAGAUGUCUUCCUGCCAAGCGUUCUGCCCUGUGCAAGAAGGCAUCUGGAGGAGAAGGAGACCCCACAAGGG